UGAGAUUAAUAAGCAAGCGUUUUCUUUGUGAACUGGCGCGGGUGUCUAAUUUACUAAUGAUGUCCCCGCUCAUCCAUCGUUCGCAUUGUCGGGAGCGUCUGCCCCUGCACACAUCUACACGGAAGGAGGAUUAUAGGCUCCGUGCGAGUUUCGGUGAAGUAGAUAAAACGGCUGGUGCAUAGAUUUUGGUGCCAAGAGAUCGCAGCGGCAGAGCAACACACGAGAGUGCUGACACAGUACAACGAUGAUGCUGAAGACGAUGACUGUGCUGGUCAGCCUGGUGCUUGUGGUUUCAGGAGUCGAUGCUAUGGAUCAGACUGAUAUCUACAAACGUUCUGUUUUUCAAAAGUUUCCGAAGCACCUCUACGAUAUACAGCGCCCAGAUUUUCAACAGCAAAGCAGUUCAUACAUGCAAGCGGAGCAUGCAUUCGUCCAAGAACCUGCCUUCAUGCAAGGAUGAGGCGGCACGCGCCUGAUCAUGUGGUGUCGGGCCACUUGAAAACGUUUUUUGGGGGGAAGGACAAUAAAAUUAAUCCUCGCAGACUUGAGAGAGAUUUGUGAUGCAGCAAUGUUGGGGAUCUCUCACAUUUUCACGUGUGCUUGCUAAUUCACUCACGUUUCGUUGACCACCUGGGCUUAUCUCUGUAUAUGGCGCAAUUUGCGACUAGCUUUUCUUACUUUAUCCGUUUUUGCUGUGCUUGCUCGCUGCGGUUUUCCUUUAAAAUGUCAUCCCUACCAGGCUCAAGUCUUACUUUGCUGCAUUAGGAAUAACCAACCCUUUUCUUG